GGGUCAGUACGUUGGUCGUGCCACCGGUACGUACUGGUCUCACUGAUUCCUCCUUCCUGAAGAACCGUAAUGCCAUUAAUUUGGUGUUGCGGGGAAACAGGACUGUUACUUUGAAAAAAUUAGAGUGUUUAAAGCAAGCUAACGCGUGAAUACAUUAGCAUGGAAUAAUGAAAUAGGACGAUCGAUCCUAUUUUGUUGGUUUCUAGGAUUGACGUA
rnacentral:rRNA from 1 species